ensembl:snRNA U6 U6 spliceosomal RNA
GUGCUUGUCUCAGUAGCACAAAUACUAUAAAUGGAACAGUGCAGAGAAAAUGAAUAUGACCCCUAGUCAAAGAUGACACCCAAAUUUGUGAAGCAUUUCUGUUUGUU